UCCUGGCUCAGGAUGAACGCUGGCGGCGUGCUUAACACAUGCAAGUCGAACGGUGAAGCCCAGCUUGCUGGGUGGAUCAGUGGCGAACGGGUGAGUAACACGUGAGCAACCUGCCCCUGACUCUGGGAUAAGCGCUGGAAACGGCGUCUAAUACUGGAUAUGUGACGUGGCCGCAUGGUCUGCGUCUGGAAAGAAUUUCGGUUGGGGAUGGGCUCGCGGCCUAUCAGCUUGUUGGUGAGGUAAUGGCUCACCAAGGCGUCGACGGGUAGCCGGCCUGAGAGGGUGACCGGCCACACUGGGACUGAGACACGGCCCAGACUCCUACGGGAGGCAGCAGUGGGGAAUAUUGCACAAUGGGCGCAAGCCUGAUGCAGCAACGCCGCGUGAGGGAUGGCGGCCUUCGGGUUGUAAGCCUCUUUUAGCAGGGAAGAAGCGAAAGUGACGGUACCUGCAGAAAAAGCGCCGGCUAACUACGUGCCAGCAGCCGCGGUAAUACGUAGGGCGCAAGCGUUGUCCGGAAUUAUUGGGCGUAAAGAGCUCGUAGGCGGUUUGUCGCGUCUGCUGUGAAAUCCGGAGGCUCAACCUCCGGCCUGCAGUGGGUACGGGCAGACUAGAGUGCGGUAGGGGAGAUUGGAAUUCCUGGUGUAGCGGUGGAAUGCGCAGAUAUCAGGAGGAACACCGAUGGCGAAGGCAGAUCUCUGGGCCGUAACUGACGCUGAGGAGCGAAAGGGUGGGGAGCAAACAGGAUUAGAUACCCUGGUAGUCCACGCCGUAAACGAUGAUAACUAGCUGUCGGGGGUCAUGGACUUUCGGUGGCGCAGCUAACCAUUAAGUUAUCCGCCUGGGGAGUACGGCCGCAAGGUUAAAACUCAAAGAAAUUGACGGGGGCCUGCACAAGCGGUGGAGCAUGUGGUUUAAUUCGAAGCAACGCGCAGAACCUUACCAGCGUUUGACAUCCUCAUCGCGGAUUUCAGAGAUGAUUUCCUUCAGUUCGGCUGGAUGAGUGACAGGUGCUGCAUGGCUGUCGUCAGCUCGUGUCGUGAGAUGUUGGGUUAAGUCCCGCAACGAGCGCAACCCUCGUCUUUAGUUGCCAUCAUUUAGUUGGGCACUCUAAAGAAACCGCCGGUGAUAAGCCGGAGGAAGGUGGGGAUGACGUCAAGUCCUCAUGGCCCUUACACGCUGGGCUACACACGUGCUACAAUGGCGGUGACAACGGGUUGCUACCUCGCGAGAGGAUGCUAAUCCCAAAAAGCCGUCUCAGUUCGGAUUGUUCUCUGCAACUCGAGAGCAUGAAGGCGGAAUCGCUAGUAAUCGCGGAUCAGCAUGCCGCGGUGAAUACGUUCCCAGGCCUUGUACACAUCGCCCGUCACACCAUGGGAGUUGGAUUCACCCGAAGGCGUUGCGCUAACCCGUAAGGGAGGCAGGCGACCACGGUGGGUUUAGCGACUGGGGUGAAGUCGUAACAAGGUA
rnacentral:rRNA from 1 species